GCGAGUGAAAUUGAAAUAUGAAUAAAAAUAAAAAAUAAACACUAGUUUUGUUAAUGUGAAUGCAAAAAAAUAAACACAAUUGAUGCUCUUCUAUUGUCAUUUCCCUUUUAUGUAGGAGCAAAUUCUAGCGUUUUAUGAUAAAGCAAUGCUCUCUCCUAUUGACAAGAGUUGGAGGAAGCUUUCUCUAUCUCUCUGCAAAACACACUCAGAUUCAGAACGAGCUGUGUUCAUCUUCAUUAUUACUCAUCAUCAUCACCUGCUAAGGCUGUUGUUUGUGAAAUUGCCUCUAAUGGCACGAGCUUCUUUGCAUUGCCAUUGUAAAAUUGCCUUGGGUGUUACAUUGGGAUAGAAUUAAUUUCUAUUACCUUCUUUUUAGUACCAAUGUUUGAGCUACAUCCCCUUGUUUUAGUACCAACGUUUAAUCCUUUGAAAAUUUCUGAUGUAAUUACAACUUCUUGGUUUGAUUUUGGUUGA